UACGAAGGGGGCUAGCGUUGCUCGGAAUUACUGGGCGUAAAGCGCACGUAGGCGGCUCUUUAAGUCGGGGGUGAAAUCCUGGAGCUCAACUCUAGAACUGCCUUCGAUACUGUAGAGCUUGAGUUCGGGAGAGGUGAGUGGAACUGCGAGUGUAGAGGUGAAAUUCGUAGAUAUUCGCAAGAACACCAGUGGCGAAGGCGGCUCACUGGCCCGAUACUGACGCUGAGGUGCGAAAGCGUGGGGAGCAAACAGG
rnacentral:rRNA from 1 species